UACGGAGGGUGCAAGCGUUGUCCGGAAUCACUGGGCGUAAAGGGCGCGUAGGCGGCUCAUGAAGGCUGUGGUGAAAGUCCGGGGCUCAACCUCGGAUCGGCCGUGGCGACUCGUGGGCUGGAGCACUGUAGAGGGUAGUGGAAUUCCCGGUGUAGCGGUGAAAUGCGUAGAGAUCGGGAGGAACACCAGUGGCGAAGGCGAUCACCUGGGGUUGUUCUGACGCUGAGGAGCGAAAGCUAGGGGAGCAAACGGG
rnacentral:rRNA from 1 species